CUUCCUCUUCGUCAACUCCGCCCUCUUUCAAAGCCGUCGUCCCCAAAAUAUCAAUGAGAGGACCAAUCAACCCUUCCAAAGCCGUCGUUCCCAAAAUAUCAAUGAGAGGACCGUCCAUGCUGUGAGGGGCUGCAACCCACGUGGAGGCCGCCGUGGCCACCGCUGUUGGGGCCGUGUAGGGCGGCGCGCUCGGUGGGCUGAUGGGCACGCUCGCGCCCGACGGCGGGGCCGCGCUCCCCGUGCCGCCGCCGCCGCCCGGGCUCGACCCCAACGCCAUGGCCUCCUUCAAGCAAGCGCAGGCUUUAGCGGGUGGACCCCUGGUGCAAGCAAGGAACUUCACGGUCAUGACUGGCGCAAAUGCAGGCAUAUCUUGUGUUAUGAGAAGAAUAAGAGGAGUGGAGGAUGUCCAGGGCAGGGAAGGGUUUCCAAGUCCUUGUUUACUGUUCUGUAAAUAUUUGCAAGUACCGUAAGAGCCUUCAUGUAUUGUUGCACAAGUACACCUUACUUUUCCCUGCCUUCAGUAGCCAAUGGCAGGAUGCUUGACGCUUUGAUAGGAUAUGCUUAGCAAUUUGUACUUUACAAGAUUCUUUUGUUCUGAGUGAUUCAUCUUAUGUUAGCUGUAACUGUAAGCCCCCAUGCGAUGCACAGAAUUUCAAGAAACAGAAACUAGAUUGCACAUUUAAUUUCAUGCGGACCAAGUUUUUCUUAUCUGUUGUAUUAUCUACGUGCAGUUAUGUUGGAAAGGUUUGUUUAGAUCAUUUUUCGUCCUACAUGAUUGACAAUUUCUCAUUUGUAUAGCAUGCGAGGGGGUUCUUGUGCAGCGCCAAAAUAGAGGCGGCGGCGCGCGGGUUCUGUGUGGCGGGCUGAAUGCAGUGACAUGCUGGGAGGCCCCUCCCCUGCUUUGGACUGCAGCUGUGACGCCUCCCUGGUGCUGCUCGGUCCUUCCUCGUGCAGGCGUUAACUAUGUUUUGUAAUCCUAAAAUUACUCUUGUCUAUUAAGCACACAAUAUUAGGGACCAAUCAACUCUUUUCUAGCUUUUAAUCUGAUCAUGACUCUGACCUUAUAAUUUGCACUUUUGCAGCUUUGCCACAGUAAUUCUUUUUUUCUUUUGGGAAAUAAUGACGUGAGAAAAUUUUCAUCUGUGGAUCAAUUUUAACAGGACAUGUUCUGCAACUUGAUGAAUGAGACCACUUUUCAUUCAGUUCAGUUUCUACACAUAGUCUAACUUGUUGCUGUCACUGAUGAUGUUUUAGAACUAGAAGGACUAGCAGCCAUUUACCUAGUUAUUAUGCAUCUCUAAUGCUUUAGAUUGCUUGGAGAUUGAUACCUAAUUAUUUAGCAGCACUCUAUCUGGAAGCAAGUUAUGAAGCACAUAGAGUUAACCUUUUGAGAAGCAUGUGCUUCCUGUUAAGCCCUGUAAACUGAGAGCCACACUUCAAAUUUCAGUCCUGUUUAAAAGGUUGUCAAUUUGUCAUAUAGAGUCUUCUAGUGCUUGUGGUAUGGGUUUGGCAGUCAACUGGCUUGAAGUAGCACAGUUUUGAAAUUUUGGAUAUUUCUUUUCACUUUUCCAUGAAUGCAGUAACGCCCAUUACAUAGUUAGAACACAGAACUUUUCACCCUUUGGGUCAGUAGGUUUUGUGCGUCACUAUUUGUUCGGCCAGAUAUUGUCUAUAUGCUUGUACGCUAAUUCUGUUUGUGUUUUCCUAGGUUUGCUGUCUAACAUUGGAUAUGAAAUUGGACUAGAGAGCUGGUUAUGUUUACUUCAAUGCAACUAUUUGGUUGUUGAUCUCUAUGUUCAGCACUUCAUCCCCCUAGAUGAUAUCACAGCGAUUUCAAAACAACACUUAUCUGAGAGCGCGGCAGAUUCGUCAAGCAGGUUGUCGCAGCACAAUGCAGAUGCAUCUACCAGGUCUUCGCAAACCAGAAUGUUGACGACGCUAACAAAUUCUGCAGUUUGGAACUACCGUGUAUUACAAGGACUCGCUACAAUGAUGACAACGCUAGGACAUGGUUAUCCCAUCUAUGUAUUAUUAUAUAGAUAAACAACCCUGUGCUAACUAACUCUCUAGGUUUAUCUCCAACGUAUCGUAUUUCGAAAUUCAAACUUGUUUGUUAGCUCCUAUCUCUCAAUUUCUACUUCAGCGAUCUCCUUGUUUUUCUCGUUAUGGUUAGAUGAUCUCUUACCAUCUGACCGCU